rnacentral:rRNA from 1 species
AACGAACGCUGGCGGCAUGCCUAACACAUGCAAGUCGAACGAUUGCCUUCGGGUGAUAGUGGCGCACGGGUGCGUAACGCGUGGGAAUCUGCCCUUAGGUUCGGAAUAACAGCUGGAAACGGCUGCUAAUACCGGAUGAUAUCGCGAGAUCAAAGAUUUAUCGCCUGAGGAUGAGCCCGCGUUGGAUUAGGUAGUUGGUGGGGUAAAGGCCUACCAAGCCGACGAUCCAUAGCUGGUCUGAGAGGAUGAUCAGCCACACUGGGACUGAGACACGGCCCAGACUCCUACGGGAGGCAGCAGUGGGGAAUAUUGGACAAUGGGCGCAAGCCUGAUCCAGCAAUUCCGCGUGAGUGAUGAAGGCCCUAGGGUUGUAAAGCUCUUUUACCCGGGAAGAUAAUGACUGUACCGGGAGAAUAAGCCCCGGCUAACUCCGUG